CAGAUGGUAGUUUAUUGAAAACAUGUGCUUGUCAAGCAUACGAUGACUAGUUUGAGAGUUUCUCUGA
rnacentral:tRNA from 1 species